GUUAUUGGGUAUCAAAACCUAAUAGCGAAAUUAACAUAACUUAUAUGGGAUUAGUUUUUAGAUUAUUUAUAGUCUAUUAAUUCAAUCCCGGGGCGUUCUAUUUGGUUAUGUAUAAUAAUAUUUAUAUUAUUUAUACCUCUAACUAGAGCGUACCUUGAGCAUAUAUGCUGUGACCCGAAAGAUGGUGAACUAUACUUGAUCAGGUUGAAGUCAGGGGAAACCCUGAUGGAAGACCGAAACAGUUCUGACGUGCAAAUCGAUUGUCAGAAUUGAGUAUAGGGGCGAAAGACCAAUCGAACCAUCUAGUAGCUGGUUCCCUCCGAAGUUUCCCUCAGGAUAGCUGGUGCAUUUAGAAAUUAUGUAAAAUAAUCUUAUCUGGUAAAGCGAAUGAUUAGAGGCCUUAGGGUCGAAACGACCUUAACCUAUUCUCAAACUUUAAAUGGGUAAGAACCUCACCUUUCUUGGUAUGAAGGUUGUGGUUGUGAUAUAAUGUGCCCAGUGGGCCACUUUUGGUAAGCAGAACUGGCGCUGUGGGAUGAACCAAACGUAAUGUUACGGUGCCCAAAUUAACAACUCAUGCAGAUACCAUGAAAGGCGUUGGUUGCUUAAAACAGCAGGACGGUGGACAUGGAAGUCGUAAUCC
rnacentral:rRNA from 1 species